GGAGGAUCUUAAGCAGACUCCAUGCUCAGUGCUGAGCCCGACGCUAGAUCUCAGCACCAUGAGAUCAUGACUCGAGCCGAAAUCAAGAGUCGGAUGCUCAACUGACUGAGCCCCCAGGGGCCACUCCCCGUUGUCUUUUUAAUACAGACCUGCCUGACACAGCCACAGUGGCUUUUCUGGAAAACUGACAUCUCAGGUAGCCUCAUAUGGGAGGUGUCUCCAGACCCAGCCGGCAUCUUCAGGGUAAUUAUUGUUGUUACCAUGUACGGGGGGUUUCCAAGUGUUAGGCACAUUUCAGGCUCUUUGUUUAUAUUAUUCCUGAUCUGUACAAUAAUGUAAGAAACUAUUUUAUCCCCAUUUUCCAGAUGGAGAAAUGGAGGUUUUGCAAGACUGGGCAUGCUGAUUUAACUUUGAUGAGCCUGAUGCAUUUUGAGGAACAGCCUGAAAUACAGGCAAAUGUGCGUAAAUGUUUAAAGGAGAAAACCUACACCCAUAAGAUAAUUCUUCACAGCAGCCAGUUUCUUCCCUGGAUACGUGAUUCAUCUCAGGGGGCUGGGGGACCCAUCCCUAAUGGGGACGGAAUGACACUGCAUUCUUGUGACCAGCUUUCCAUGAAUUAAAUUGCAUUACUUAGACUCAUUCAUAUAAAAACAUGACAAGUUUCCAGGUGUGAUUAAAUAAAGCACAAUUUGCCACGGGCAAGUCUCCUGUAAGCAUCCUGCAUUUACGGCUCAACUGCCUGAGUGAUAAUCCUUGGUACCUUGUUUAAAGUAACAAUCAUGAAAGUCUUUCUGUUUGUGAGCAGAGAGAGGGAAAAAAUGGCUUCAGCAUUUCUCAACAGAAAAAAGUCGAUGUCUCUACCUGUGGUAUACACUCAGCUCGUGAACCCGAGACAGAGGAGGAAGGUGAGCUCGGUACGGACGAAUUACCAGAGGUGGGAUGCUUCUUCAGUAAAUAAGACGCCGACUUUCUUUAAGAGAAACUCUCUCACUAGUGUGUACUGGGAGUAAUGAGGUAAGAGAAUGUCUGGUAUGAAAAGUUAAAAUGAAGAUUUAACGCAUUCGGGAAUUCUGCACUUCCUUCAAAGACACACAUCUCUGUGUCUAUUUCAUGUCCUCAGACAGAAAAUUGGGAGAGCCUACAAGAAGUCACCUUCUGGGAGGGUUGUCCUGGCUCGUUCACUGAAAGACAGAAUCACAGACAUGUGACCAAAGAACCCAGAAAGGUUUGUCGCCAGGCUUUGGACCUCAUCACCCCAAGGUAUACCUCUGGCCAUUUGUGGCAAGGCUGCUGGCAAAGCCAUUCGGCCCACCUUCCUCAUUCAGCUACUCUGGGAACCUCACAGUGGCCUUGUGUCCUGCUCCCCACUUUGAGACAAGGAGGAACCAGACAGGGAAAGCUAUUGGCCAGCCCUUGCUGCUCAGCCUGGGCCUGUAGCACGAACCCCACGUGGCAGCUCCUUAGACAUGCAGAUUCCGUUUCAACAAGAUCCCAGGGUGAUCCUUGUGCACCUUUAGGUGAUGGGGACAUACAGAAGCUGACAGGGAAGGUGCAUCCCCUUAAUGUCAGGGGUGAUUUAGGAAGUCAGCCUUGUAAUUGGUGGUCCUCCAUCAGCAAUUCAAAAAAAAAAAAAAAAAAAAAAAAAAAACCAGGAAAAAAAGGACAAGGUUUUAGGCAAAGACUUGUCCUGUUUUCAUGUCGCUAUCCAGCUGCUGGUCCCAACUAUUGUUUGGAAAAUUCUUAGGAAUUUGGUUUCGAUAAUGUCAAGGCAGGUAUGCUUUUCAGAUUCUUUUGGACCAUCCUAAGCCUUAGACAACAGUUGUGUCUUAUAUCAUUGUAAAUAUCCAGGGCUAGAAAGGAACUCAAACAAAGUGGAGGAUAUUUCAGAACCGGGCAGGUCUGCACAGUCACAGAUGGCAGGAGUAGGCACAGUUGAACUGGAUAGCUCUGUUCUCUGAAUGCAGGGGACAGACUGGUUCUGGCUGGCCUGGGACUUCCAGGUGUGAGCCUCACAAGUCCUGCACUCAGGCUGACGGGGAGAGCUCAUGGCCCCAGACUGAAUGGGGAUGGACAUUAACGAGGACUUUUUUAUUCAGAAUUGCAACACUGACUCUGUGAUGGUCGAUUUGCCUUAAGGAGGGAAGGCAGUGGCAUCAGUGGCCCUUCCAACACAGUCAUGGGGUGAGGACCCAGUCCUUACCCCAAAGCUUCCUUGGAAGGUAAACGGAGAUUAAUCUGCUGGGGCUGCUCUGGCUGCACUUUCCUUAUGAUUUCCUUCCAGAUUUGAGCAGUGUGGGUUUCAAGGCUGAAUCAAGACCACAAAACACUGGACCCUGCUUUGGGAGUGGGUGGGGGGGUUGUAUCUACUUAGAAGAGGUACUCUCCUUCAUGUUUGUGGGGAUCCCUGUAAAACUGAAUGCUUGGACAGGCCACUGCCUCAGUACCCACGUUUGCAGAAUCCAUGCCCCGAACGAGGUGUUCUCCAGGGCCCCCCUCUGGCUCUGACAGCACUGUGACCCAAUGACAGUCACUGUGUUAGGACAAACUAUCAAGAACACCUUGGCUAUUUUCAAAACACUGUGAAAGACAGACGCAAAAAUAAGGAUGGUCCUGCCAAUUUCGGGGCAAUGUAUCCCCAGAUCAGCAAUUCCACAUCUCUAAGGCACAGGGUUGUCCAUUUUUCUUUACAUUUUAAAAGUUAUCCUCCCCAAAGUCCUAUCUUUGCAAAGAGACCCCAACUGUCUUCAGAGACAUGGGAACAAAUAUCUUGCCAAGGAUUCCCUGCAGAAACUAACAGCCCCGAUGAAAGCAGUCAAAUCUUAUCUUUGGAUGUGUUUCAGAAAAAAUAUGAUUGGAACCACAAAGAAACCACUAACAACUAUUCCACAGAACACAGUUCUAACAUUUACCAAAGUUGGAACGCUAUCAUUGCUAUUUUAUUGGAGCGACUACCAUGUUAUUCUGAUAUACGUGUAUUUCUUUCUUACAGAAUGUAGAGCAUGGCAUAUAAUAUUUACAUGUAUCAUUUAAAGUGCUUUAACUAGGAUUUACUCAACAAACGUUUACGGAGUACCUACCUCCCAGGUACCAGAUAAUUUCUUAGGCAUUGGAGUUUCAAAGGUAAACAAGACAAAGUUCGGUUUGUCAAAAGAAAAAAAGAAACCUAGUUAUGAUCAACUCUUUUUAAAAAUGGCGGGGCCCUUGUAUGGAAAGGUAACCCUUCCUGUGACGGUGUUUCUAGAGGAAGAUGACCUUCAACUAACAUCAGAGGGAUUCUGACCAACUCUACACAACUUGUAGUCACAUAAAGGUGGAGAAAGAGCAAUAUUUAAACAAUUGUCUUCUCCAUCUUCAAAUGCACACUCUGUCCAUUUUUCUCAAGAUUACGAAUAGGCUAAAGGAAUUGCUUCCUGAGCUGUCGGCGAAAAGGAGACUCUAGCCAUACCUGAUGAGGGAUGGGCUGACCCUGAAGAAAUGGGGCCUUGGCAUUUGGGUGGCUCACUGCUUUGCUGAACACAUUAGGAGAGGAAAUUAUUUAGAGGGUCCCAAUGUGCACUCUGUUCUGAAAUGGCUGCCCCGAUUGAAAUCAUUAUGGGUAAUUUCCGCAGAACCAAUAUUGUAAUUAUUUGUAAAUGUUGGUUUGCGAUUCAGCAGCAAUCGGCAGGUUGCUCCAAGAAAACCCCUGCGGUUAAUUACACCUUCUGAAUUUAGCUUCAGCCAUGAGUCAAAUUUUGCCCCCAAAUAUUUCACGUAAAGACUCAAAACAACAUCACCUUAAAAAUAAGCCUUGCUGAUAACAAAUAUAUUAGGCAACUCUGGUAUUUUCUAGAAGAGUGUAAAUCACGGAUGCAAGAAAAGAAGAAUGUACCAUCGAGACCACAUACAGUCAGAAAUGUGGCAGGCUCGUCCUAUAAAUUCCUCCCAGAAAUCGUAAUUGAAGUGUGUAUUUCUGGCCUUGCAGAUUGUAGGUUCUUUGUAAUUUGUGUGCUAUUGUGCCCUAAAAUCUGAGUCAGCUUCAAUUCCUUCCCCUUGUCAGCACAAGUCUGGAGGUCAGAAAACUACUGCUGGGUACCUGAAUUCCACAACAGAAAUUAUAGCAGGCUUAGGGGGUCUGGACAGCAUCUGUGAAUUUUAGAAGGAAAACAAUCUUCUACUUCUUACUCAAAAACGCCCAACCAUGGCAUCCCUGACAGAGGCCUGACCCGCAUUCUUUUUUCCUGACCUUUGCUUUCUCUCCCACAGGGACCUGCACAGACUUCGGGGCCUCUGAGUAUAAACCAGUGAUGGAGAUAGGGCUUGCAUUAGAAUCUAUCACAUUUUCCAUCAAACAGGAUUGUCUGGCAUCAAAAAUACUGUUACUUUUGUUUAUCUUAACUUCUGUUCCCCUUUGGUCCAUUACACCCUGCAAGCAAUGUGAAACUUACGUAUGCCUUUUCUAUUAUUUGUUUAGAAGAGUACAAAAUGUAUGACUUGGCUGUUCAAGUAUGAAGCCCAUUUGAUUUUUCCCAACUCAGGAACAUUCGAAAUUAUAUCAAGAGGUUAGACGUUUGAUCGGCCUCAGGAUCUGUAGUUAUAAGGCUGCUGAUUGUCCUUCCUAAGACCAGGCUCUUUGCCGAACAGAUGAAUCUAGCGGGAUCUGUGCUGCUUUCAUCCUUGGAGCCUCAAACGCUCUGGGACGCCCCCUGUGACAACCCGCCUGGCUGAGGGGGCUUUCUGACAGUCCCGGCGAGCGGCUGUCAGUCCGAACAUACCCAACCCUGGACGGGGUUCAUUCUGUCCUAAGCAUUGCUCCUCCAGAUCGGGCCUGGGGAAUAAAUGCUCCUUUUCUCCUGA